GACGAGGGGUCCUAGCGUUGUUCGGAAUUACUGGGCGUAAAGCGCAUGUAGGUGGCUUAAUAAGUCAGAUGUGAAAGCCUCGGGCUCAACCUGAGAAGUGCAUUUGAUACUGUUAAGCUUGAGUAUGGGAGAGGGUAGUAGAAUUCCUGGUGUAGUGGUGAAAUACGUAGAUAUCAGGAGGAAUACCGGUGGCGAAGGCGGCUACCUGGCCCAAUACUGACACUGAGAUGCGAAAGCGUGGGGAUCAAACAGG
rnacentral:rRNA from 1 species